rnacentral:rRNA from 1 species
UAAUACGGAGGGUGCAAGCGUUGUUCGGAAUUAUUGGGCGUAAAGGGCGUGUAGGUGGCUAUGCAAGUCUGGUGUGAAAGCCCACGGCUCAACCGUGGAACUGCAUUGGAAACUGCAUAGCUCGAGUGUUGGAGGGGGUCGCGGAAUUCCCGGUGUAGAGGUGAAAUUCGUAGAUAUCGGGAGGAACACCAGUGGCGAAGGCGGCGACCUGGCCAAUUACUGACACUGAGACGCGAAAGCGUGGGGAGCAAACAGG